UGUUGAGGGAUACUGGCAUACUUAUACGUGCAAGUCGAGGGGUAACAGGGAUUGCUUGCAAUCCGCUGACGACCGGCGCACGGGUGCGUAACGCGUAUGCAACCUACCUUCUACAGGGGGAUAGUCAAUAGAAAUGUUGAAUAAUACCCCAUACGAUCAUGAAUUCGCAUGGAUUUAUGAGGAAAGUUCCGGCGGUAGAAGAUGGGCAUGCGUCCUAUUAGUUAGUUGGUAAGGUAACGGCUUACCAAGACAUCGAUAGGUAGGGGUCCUGAGAGGGAGAUCCCCCACACUGGUACUGAGACACGGACCAGACUCCUACGGGAGGCAGCAGUGAGGAAUAUUGGACAAUGGAGGCAACUCUGAUCCAGCCAUGCCGCGUGCAGGAAGACGGCCCUAUGGGUUGUAAACUGCUUUUAUA
rnacentral:rRNA from 1 species